GAUGAACGCUGGCGGCGUGCCUAAUACAUGCAAGUCGAGCGAACAGACGAGGAGCUUGCUCCUCUGACGUUAGCGGCGGACGGGUGAGUAACACGUGGAUAACCUACCUAUAAGACUGGGAUAACUUCGGGAAACCGGAGCUAAUACCGGAUAAUAUAUUGAACCGCAUGGUUCAAUAGUGAAAGACGGUUUUGCUGUCACUUAUAGAUGGUUCCGCGCCGCAUUAGCUAGUUGGUAAGGUAACGGCUUACCACGGCAACGAUGCGUAGCCGACCUGAGAGAGUGAUCGGCCACACUGGAACUGAGACACGGUCCAGACUCCUACGGGAGGCAGCAGUAGGGAAUCUUCCGCAAUGGGCGAAAGCCUGACGGAGCAACGCCGCGUGAGUGAUGAAGGUCUUCGGAUCGUAAAACUCUGUUAUUAGGGAAGAACAAAUGUGUAAGUAACUAUGCACGUCUUGACGGUACCUAAUCAGAAAGCCACGGCUAACUACGUG
rnacentral:rRNA from 1 species